UCCCUGGUAGUAUAUCGGUUAGUACACGCGCCUGUCAUCUUGGCUUUGUGCGCGCGAAAGCGGGGUUCGACUCCCCGCCAGGGAG